rnacentral:rRNA from 1 species
GAUGAACGCUGGCGGCGUGCCUAAUACAUGCAAGUCGAGCGAAUGGAUUAAGAGCUUGCUCUUAUGAAGUUAGCGGCGGACGGGUGAGUAACACGUGGGUAACCUGCCCAUAAGACUGGGAUAACUCCGGGAAACCGGGGCUAACACCGGAUAACAUUUUGAACCGCAUGGUUCGAAAUUGAAAGGCGGCUUCGGCUGUCACUUAUGGAUGGACCCGCGUCGCAUUAGCUAGUUGGUGAGGUAACGGCUCACCAAGGCAACGAUGCGUAGCGGACCUGAGAGGGUGAGCGGCCACACUGGGACUGAGACACGGCCCAGACUCCUACGGGAGGCAGCAGUAGGGAAUCUUCCGCAAUGGACGAAAGUCUGACGGAGCAACGCCGCGUGAGUGAUGAAGGCUUUCGGGUCGUAAAACUCUGUUGUUAGGGAAGAACAAGUGCUAGUUGAAUAAGCUGGCACCUUGACGGUACCUAACCAGAAAGCCACGGCUAACUACGUGCCAGCAGCCGCAGUAA